AUACUGACGAGUCCCAAACAGGACGAAACAGCUGUCCAGUGU
rnacentral:hammerhead_ribozyme from 1 species